rnacentral:lncRNA from 1 species
AACUCGAAACAAUCGUAAGGUAAUUCAUCUGUCAAGAUGAGGAUGGAUUUUAAGUUGUUUACUCAGAGCAAGAUCCAUUUCCGCAAUGAGGGGGAUUGACCCCGCCCAAAUAGGUUCUCCACAGAAGAAACUCGCAACCCUACCAUCAACCACAUGCCACAUGCCACAUGCCCCUAUAGGUUGUGUUACGUUACUAGGUUAGUAAAGAAACUGUAAAGGGAUGCUAUAAAAUAAGCUAUAUAUAUAUAUAUAUGAAUCUCUUUCAACGACUUGAAUUAUUGAGAUGCAUAUAAUAAUUUAAAAACAAAUAUAAGAGGUAAAAAUCAUGUAUGUCUAGUUUUCGAGAAAAAAAAUGAUAGAAUUUUUUUUUGUCAAAGUAGACUGAUAGUUUGAUUAUUGGUAGCCAUAUUGUCCCUACCUUGACCAGUUUUUCUCCGGUUUUGAUGAUAUUUGAUGGUCAUAAGUGCCUGGUUUGAUCAUUAGUGCAUUUCGUACUCGUUUCCUCUCGAACGGAUCAUUUCGGUAUGUUUCACUUGUUUCUUGGAGUCUCUUUCUUGAUUACAGGUAUCCGUUGGAUAGAGGGUUCAAAUACGAAGCCGAUGGUAACUUCCGAAGCGAAAUCGGAGUCCGAAUGAAGAAGUUAUGGCCGAAAGAAGUCGAUCAAUGCUGUUGUUGACAAGUCAAGCCCGUGACACAAGCUGUCACGGCCGUGACGCCUAGUCUAGGCAGCAACAUUAAUUCAGCCCCAUACACGAUUUUAAAGGGGAGAUGAGAGAAAAUGACGAACUAAAAGAAAAUUGACGACGGGAAAAGCGCUUGGGAGCCUAGGAACGCCAUGGGAAUGAAGAUUUGAAGCCAAAUAGUCGAGGAAUCAAAGCCCAACGGAGGAUCAACCUUCUAUUUCGAUAGAUUGGCGGUUUGAAACUUUGUCUACAUCUUCCAUGGAAAAAUAGGUUUUCUUCUUGUUUGGGUUUU